CGAAGCCCUGUAUUUAUUAGAUUAAAGCCAACCACCUCCGGGUGUUCGUGGUGAAUCAUAGUAACUUAUCGGAUCGCCGGCUCAACGCCAGCGACGUGUCAUUCAAAUUUCUGCCCUAUCAGCUUUAGAUGGUAGGAUAUGGGCCUACCAUGGCGGUGACGGGUAACGGAGAAUUAGGGUUCGAUUCCGGAGAGGGAGCCUGAGAAACGGCUACCACUUCUAAGGAAGGCAGCAGGCGCGCAAAUUACCCAAUCCUGACUCAGGGAGGUAGUG
rnacentral:rRNA from 1 species